UUUUUCAAAAAUUUGUAUGGAGAAAAUCCUGAUCAUCUCAUGGGAAGUUUGCCCCUAAUGCCUUCCUCCAGCUUGAUCUUGUUCAUACCGAAUUUUUGGGUAAAUCAAUUAUUGAUGAGAAAAUAAGGGAUGUUUUUUUUGACAUUAGUGAUGACUUCAAUGCUUUUUUUUCCAGAAACAAUGCAGUACGGUAGCGGGAGUAGUUUGCGAAUGGGUUAAAACAAUUUUCGCUAAUGGUACUAUGGAUUCGAAUUUAAAUAACAUCCUGAUCGUUCUUUUCCCUAAGAUUUCAAAUUCUGAGAGCUUUACACAGCUCUGUUCUAUAAGCCUUUGCACGGUUCUUUAUAAGC
rnacentral:lncRNA from 1 species